AUUGAACGCUGGCGGCAGGCCUAACACAUGCAAGUCGAGCGGAUGACGGGAGCUUGCUCCUUGAUUCAGCGGCGGACGGGUGAGUAAUGCCUAGGAAUCUGCCUGGUAGUGGGGGACAACGCCCCGAAAGGGGCGCUAAUACCGCAUACGUCCUACGGGAGAAAGUGGGGGCUCUUCGGACCUCACGCUCUCAGAUGAGCCUAGGUCGGAUUAGCUAGUUGGUGAGGUAAAGGCUCACCAAGGCGACGAUCCGUAACUGGUCUGAGAGGAUGAUCAGUCACACUGGAACUGAGACACGGUCCAGACUCCUACGGGAGGCAGCAGUGGGGAAUAUUGGACAAUGGGCGAAAGCCUGAUCCAGCCAUGCCGCGUGUGUGAAGAAGGUCUUCGGAUUGUAAAGCACUUUAAGUUGGGAGGAAGGGCAGUAAGUUAAUACCUUGCUGUUUUGACGUUACCGACAGAAUAAGCACCGGCUAACUCUGUGCCAGCCGCCGCAGUAACAC
rnacentral:rRNA from 1 species